rnacentral:lncRNA from 1 species
UUUUUUUUUCUAUUUUUCCUUCUUACCUUUUAACAAAUUCAAAUAAUGUUCAAGAAUUGAAAAAGGUUUAGGAAUUUCAAACAAUGUUCUGAAUUUUGAAAACUAUUCACGGACUCAAAAAAGUUCAUGAAUUAAAAAAAUGUAUGUGAAUGUAAAAAAUGUUCAUGAAUUCAAAAAAUGUUUGUGAAUUUAAAAAUGUUCACUAAAUUCAAAAAAUGCCAUGGAAAAUUUUCAAAAACAAUUACCGAUAUCAACAUUUUUUGCAAAAACAAAAAAUAUUAGUGAAAUUGAAAAAUAUUCACAGAUAAAAAAUCACAAAAAUGAAAAAUGUUCAUGAAUUUGAGAAAAUGUUCGCGAUUGCAAAAAAUAUUCAUGAAUUCAACAAAUGUCCCUAUUUCAAAUAGGAGUACAAAAAAGUCCAUGAAAUUAAAUGUCAGGAUUUACAAGAUUGACCAUGGAUACAAAAAAAAUCACAAAAUAAAAAAAUAAUAAAAAAUAUGCAUGAAUUUGAGAAAAUGCUCAUGAAAUUGAAAACAUAUUCAUAAAUUCAAACAAGUUUGUGGAUUUGAAAAAAUGUUUGCAAUUUUAAAAAUGUUCGUGAAUACGAAACAAAUGUCUAUGAAAUUGAAAAAUGUUCAUGAUUUGAAAUGUUGGUGAAAUUCAGAAAUAUUCAUGAAUUCGAAAAGGCUUGCAAAUUUGGGAAAGUAUUCGUUAUCUUACAAAAAGUUCUACGAAAUAAUAAAAAUAUCGUGAGACUAAAAAAAGUUGCUGAAUUAAAAAUUUGUUCCCACUUCAAAAAAUAUUGGCGGUUUCAAGAAAUAUUCGCGAAUUUGAAGAACAUGUUCAUGAAAUUCAAAGAUGUUUUCUAAAUUGGAAAAUAUUCUUGAUUUUGAGAAAAUGUUAGUGAGUUUGAAUAAAUGAUUUGGAAAUUAAAAUGUUCGCGAAUUUGAAAAAAAUUUAGUGAAUUUGGUCUUUUCCUGAAACUGAACAUAUUCAUGAAUUUGAAAAUGACAAAUAAAAAAAAAUUAAAGGGAUAGAAUAAACCUGAAAGAAAACACAGAGAAGAAAAACUAUGUCUAGGAAGGUUCUCCAGAAAGGGGGUCUUGCUAGUUGGGCCGGCCCAAUCGUACGUAGACGCACUAACAAGGGUACGCGUUACCUCUCUAUCCGAGUUAUGCGCCAAAUACAAUCCAUCAUGCUGGCUGGCUUGAGGGGUCUACUUGGAUGGUAAUUUUGUCACCAGAGAGUGGCCGAGCUGUCCUUUUUCUUUUCUUUCUGGACCGCAUAGUUUAAAAAACCGGAACGGACCAACCGUCAGCCCGAAAAAAGCCAGAAAUCGGCGUCUUGCCUGGUCUUGUAACGUGUAUUGGUCUUUUAGCAAAAUACCAAAGAAAUAUUCAAAAAAGUGUGCGUAAAGUAGUCUGGACGUCGAGGCCAUGUGUGGCUCAUAAACCCGCCAGACUUACAUUGUAUCCCUGGAACUUGAUCACUUAAUAAAGCAAAGCAUGUUUAGACUCAUUUUUUUAUGUGAGGUCAACUUUUUUUGAAAAAAUACCUUAAAUAUUUCAAUGUUUUGUCACAAUUGAAUCGGUGGACCGGCGGUCCACUAGUAAAAACCUGAACCGACAACCUUAUUGGUUCAGUUUUUUAACCUAUACCCGGACAUAUAGGCAUAAUUAAUUUGAUGGUCCAGUUAUAGACGCUCUUAUCGAUGAAAUACACAGCUCCCCUGAUUUGGGCAUGUUUUUUAAACAUUUUUUUCUUCUAAGGUGGGGGUAACAGAUCCAGCUCUUUUGCAAAUAAUUAUGCCAAGAGUGAAUGAUCAUAUGAAUUAAUUCCUCAUGGCUCCAUACACUAUUGAUGAUGUUCAAAAUGCCGCAUUUAAUAUUGGGGACCUCAAGGCCCCCAGUCCUGAUGGGUUGCAUGCAAUAUUUUUUAAGACAUGUUGGCAUCUUAUUGGAGAUGAUAUAACAAAAGAGGUACUCUCUGCUAUACAGAACAGGGAAAUCCCCGAGGGGUGGAAUGAGACAGAUAUAGUUCUAAACCCCAAAGUAGACUGACCUAAAUCAUUCACUCAAUAUCGACCCAUUAGUCUCUAUAAUGUGGUGUACAAGAUCAUUGCAAAAUGUUUUCAAUCCGAUUAAAGUCUCCUUUGCCUGAAAUUAUUGCACCCACCCAAAGUGCCUUUGUUCCUGCAAGGCUUAUAACUGAUAAUGUUCUUGUAGCUUAUGAAUGCAUUCAUUCUAUAAACAACAAGAGGAAAGGGAAGGAGGGCUUAUGCACUAUAAAACUAGAUAUGAAUAAGGUAUGACAUAGUAGAGUGGAACUUUUUACGUGAUAUGAUGUUAAAGCUUGGUUUUGAUGAGUUAUGGGUGGAGCUUAUUUUAAGUUGUGUGUCCUUGAUUAAUAGAGUAUUCGGUAUAAUUCUCAAGUUACCGAUGAGUUUAGACCUACCCGAGGUCUCCGACAAGGGGGUCCUUUAUCAUCAUACCUGUUUUUAUUGUGUUUAGAAGCAUUGCCCAGUUUAUUGUUGCAUGAAGAAGAAGUUGGUGGUAUCGAUGAGAUUAAGGUGUGCAAAAAUGCACCGUCAGUUACACACCUAUUAUUUGCGGAUGAUUCCUUAAUUCUCGAAGGCUUAUAUGAAAUAUUCAACUUCUUUCUGCAUCAGGUAUUGGACACCUAUUGUGCAAAUUCCGGUCAACUUGUUAGGGUAGCAAAAAUCAAGUAUUUAUUUUAGCCCAAACAUUCAUGUGGAUAUGAGAGCUGACAUUUGUCUUCACCUGAACAUUGAUAAUGAAGCUUUAUCUGAUAGAUAUUUGUUCUUCUCGCACUUGUGGGAAUUGAUAGAAGUGAUUGUUUUAAACAUCUUGUUGAGAGGAUUUUGCAGAGAAUUAGUGGUUGGAAGGAAAAGAUCCUUUCAACUGCAUGAAAAGAAACUUUACUGAAGGCGGUGACCAGAUCCAUACCUGUAUAUGCUAUGUCUAUGUUUAAAUUGCUGAAAGGAAUUUGUAAAUAUAUAGCAAAUGUUAUUGCAAAAUUUUGGUGGGGGUGAUGAUGAGAACAGUAACAAAAUGCAUUGGGAUGCAUGGUGGAAGCUUUGUUUCCCAAACAAUCAAGGAGGUCUCGGUUUUCAUGAUUUCCAUUCUUUCAAUUUUGUCAUGCUAGCGAAGCAGGUAUGGAGGCUUGUGUGCUCACCAGAUUCUUUAUGUGCAAGAGUGUUAAAGACUAAAUAUUAUCCAAAUCAAAGUAUCCUUGAAGCGGGUCCAAACGGAGGGUUUUGAUAUACUUGGCGAAGUAUCGUAGCUGGAAUUCAAACUUAUAAAAGGGGAAGUAUAUGGAGAGUUGGUAAUGGAGAAUCUAUUGAUAUUUGGAAGGACCCGUGGAUCCCCUCUAGUCCUAGUAGAAAAUUUUGACACCUAGGGGCAGCGUCCUUCUAACCAAGGUGUCAGAGUUAAUUAAUCCUUCCUCGGGGUAUUCAGAUAAUGAUCUUAUUGUUUCAAUUUUCUCUCCCGUUGACGCUUCUCAAAUUUUGAGGAUUGCUCUCACUCCCAAUGGGUUUGAUGAUUUUGUGGCUUGGCACUAUAACCAGUUUAGAAUCUUUUUGGUUAAGUCUGCAUAUCAUAUUGAGUGGAGAUAUCAAUUCGGGAAUAUGUCGCAUAAUAUGUCCUCUUCUUUUUUUCGAGAGUACGCCAAAUUGGCGUACUAUAUUUUUAUAGAAGGCAGAGAAUAAUUACAAGCAGUCUAGCAAGAUGCGAACAUCCUACUUGACAACACCAACACCGAUAGAUUACAAACUCACUCUCUCACGAAAGGAUCUAAGCCUCCUACACCAAAUCCAGCAAGCGACCACUCCUUGAUCUCUGAAAGAACCAGUGUCGCCAGUUGCUCUGGCGUCCUUUGAUCGAGCACUCUGUUGAACACCCGCGCGUUUCUCUGUUUCCACAGCGCCCAAGCCGUGCCGAUCGCGAAUGAGUCAAAACCGCGGCGAACUUUGCCCGAGAACCUCGUCCUUUAAUGGAACCACCAGUCGGUAAAGGUGCUGCUCUGGGAUGGCAAAGCGAUGUCCAUGUGCAUUUUGUCAAAGCAGCGAUGCCAAACCUCAUGUGCGUAGACGCAUCCCACCAGAAUGUGGUCCACAUUAUCCUGAUCCUGUAAGCAGGUGAAGCAGGUGGAAGGCUCGUCCUGGAGCCCAUGCCGGGCGCGUCUGUCUGACGUCCAUAAGCGGUACUGGACCAUGAGCCAGGCAAAGAUCUUGCAACGCAGCGGAGCCCAGCUACGCCAAAUUGCCAUCGCGGUCGGCGAACGCACCAAACCCAUGCAAAGCCUCCGAUAAGUCGACCUAGUUGUGUAAACACCUGAUUUGUCCGCAGGCCAGCUGAACUGAUCUAGGAGCUUGUCGUCUCGCGGCACCGUCGCUAUGGCUAGGCACAGGUGAGCCACCUGCAUGUGCGCCAAGAAGGAGAUGUCACCUUGCACAUCCCUAGACCACGUGUUAUCCAACAGAGCCUGCCGGACCGUCCUGGCAUUGCGCGCCCUAGUGCUCACCAUCUCCAGGAUCAGCGGCGCGAUCUCGCCGACCGUAAAGCCAUGGAUCCAUCUGUCCGUCCAAAACAAGACCCUCUCUCCACUGCCCAGAGUGAUCUUGACGAAGCUGUUGAAUAUGGACUUGACCUCCGCGUCUUCAGAGAGCGGGAUGCCCUGCCACGGGCGGAGCAGAUCCGUUCUGCGCAGCCAUUCCCAGCGCACCCUCAGAGCGGUGGCCUACAAGCUCAAAUACUUAAUGCCCAAACCACCAAGACUCAUCGGCCGACAGAUUGUGUCCCACGCAACCAGACACUGCCCUCCAUUGACUUUAUCUUUCCCGACCCAGAAGAAAGCCCGCAUCCACUUAUUGAUUUCCUCGAACACCCAAGCAGGGGCGUCAAGCACCAUGAUUUGGUGUAUUGGCCUUGCAGAGACGACGGACUUAAGAAGGAUAAGCCUGCCAGGUCUGUGAAUGAGACCUCUCUGCCACGCCGGAACCACCUUUCUGACCUGAUCGAGUAGCGGGUGCCAGUCCGAGCGGCGCAACUGAUGGAUCGAUAACGGAAUGCCGAGGUAUUUGCACGGGAACGCACCCAGUUGGCAGCGAAGAAUCGUUGUGACUCGCUGCCCAUCCUCCUCCAAUCCGCGAAUAAGUAUAGCCGCUGAUUUGGCGAAGUUGAUCUUAAGCCCCGAAGCUUCUCCAAAGACCUCGAAGAGUUCUCUCACACAGUGCAAGUCUUGAACCACCGGUUUGACAAACAUGGCGACGUCAUCCGCGUAGAUGGACAGCCGUUGCAGAGGCAGGAUGCCGCGGAGCGAACUGAGCACGCCCUCCUCGGUGGCUUUGCAAAUCAAUGCUGUGAGCACAUCCAUGGCGAUCACGAAAAGAAGGGGGGAAACCGGGUCACCUUGCCUCAACCCCUUAGCAUGAUAGAUGGUGCGUCCCGGGUUCCCGUUGACAAUGAUCUUGGUACUCGCGGAAGACAUCAGCGUGGACACCCAACCGAUCCAUCUCCAUCCGAAGCCCCUGGCCCUUAGCACUUCCAUAAGGAAGGGCCACGAAAGGGAAUCGAAGGCUCUCGCAAUAUCGAGCUUGAGGAAUAGCCCCUUGGUCUUAGCCGCAUGGAUUUUGCGGGCAACUUGCCUGACAAGAAGGUAAUUGUCGUGGAUACUUCUUCCUUUUAUGAAUGCAGAUUGGUUUGCACUCACCACCUCCUGCAAUCUCCUACGCGCCCGCGUGGCUAAUAACUUGGCAAAGAGCUUGGAGAAGCUAUGAGGGAGGCUGAUGGGCCUAAAGUCCUUAACCUCCAAGGCAUCCGCAGAUUUAGGAAUAAGCACAAUAUGUGCCUUAUUUAGCUUGCUGAAACCUCUGUCGUCCCCCACGUACAGCUUUAGCAGAGCCGCCAUAAUGUCGUGCUUAAUCACCGGCCAGGCUUUAUGGUAGAACAAUCCAAUGAAACCGUCAGGGCCGGGCGCUCUGUCUGGUGGGAGCUCCUUGAUCACGCUCCAAACCUCCUCCUCUGUAAAAAUCUCCUCCAUCUCCGCGAGGUCGAGCUGAGGCAAAUCCAGCAGGUCGAGGUUCAGGGAGUGCGCGCGAGUGCAUGCCGUGCCCAGCAGCCUGUCGUAGGCCUCAGCGAACACCUCCUCAAUUUUGCCUUGGUCUGUGAAGAUCUCCUCCGCGUGCUAGAUCCAAGCGAUGUAGUUCUUGGAUCUUCUGCCGUUGGCCACAACCUGGAACAACUUCGUGUUGGCGUCCCCUUCUUUCAGCCACCUAAUCCUAGAUCUCUGGCGAUCGAUGGUCCGCUGCAGCGAGGCAAGACCAAGCAGCGCCACCUUGAGAGUCUUCCUCAGCCACCAUUCCAUAUCCGAGAGCCGACGAGCUUCAGAGGCUUGGUCAAAUCUGUGUAUGAGCCAGUUGGCCACCGCCAUGAGGGUUUUGAUGUUGCCAGCUUUGCGUUGGCCCCAAGCCUGAAGGUAGACAGCCGUAUUCCAGUAGAGAGCAUCCAAACGCUUGAACAGGUCCACAAUCUCAUCACUUCAGGUCCAGCCCUCCCUAAUCGCCUCGUUGAAUCCUUCCAAAUUGGUCCAGAAGAUCUCAAACCGAAAUCGCUUCUUAUGAUGAAGAAGAGCGUUUGUCGACAGGUGCAAGGGAGCGUGGUUAGAAACACCCGUGGAGAGGGCUUGGAGCAGGUGAUCUGGGUGCGACAACUCCCACUCGACCGACACCAACACCCGGUCUAUCUUAGUGAAGGUGGGGGCAUUUCUCUUGUUAGACCAAGUAAACAUCCGCCCAUGCAUAUAGAGCUCCUUCAAUUCAUGGUCAUCCACGAAACUACGAAAUCUGUUCAUCAUCGCACGAUUAAUAUGAUCAUAGCUUUUCUCCGAUGCCCGUAGGAUCAUGUUAAAAUCGCCUAGCACCAUCCACGGCCCAGGGCAAAGCGUUCUUCGGGAGUAAAGGUCCAAGAGGAAUUGCGUUUUAAGCUCAUCGCCCUGCGGCGCGUACACCACCGUAAUCCACCAUUGCUCCCCAUCCUUAUUGGUCACCAAACCCGAAACAGAGUUGGCGUCUAGCUGAAUGUGAUCAAUUGCAAUCACCGUCGAGUCCCAAGCGAGAAGGAUACCACCACGAGUCUCCUCCGCCGGCAAAUAAGCAAAACCGUCAAAGGACGGACCAACACAUUGCAUUACUACGUACUGAUCAAUAACAUCAAGUUUUGUCUCCUGUAAACACACCAAAUUGACUUUCACCGAGGUGAUAAACUCCCUCACGGCCUUCUUCUUCACGGGGUUGUUGAGUCCGCGCACGUUCCAGCAAAGAACCUCUGGGUUGUACAACAUUGGAAAGCACUACGUCCACCAGCACCAGAGCGCGCCUCAGAGCACGGCGAUGGCCGUGUCCCGCGCUCCUGCCAACUCCUCCACGGGCGGCACAGCCUUCCCGAACAGGGUCGCAAUCACCCUGAUGUGCUGCUCUCACAGCGGCGAGUCAAAGAGACUCCGAAGCUCCUGCACUGCCUCCUCAUCCGGCACCAAGUCGUCAGGCACAAGGCCGAGCGCGCGUAACAGGACAUUUCCCGCAGGUUUUGGCUUGGCAACACUGCCGUUGGCAUUUCUCCUUGUCGCCCUGGUCGUCCUCUUUGGAGUGAAAGGUUCGGCCUCAGGGCGAGGGUGGAGGCUUGCACCUCACGCAGCAGCGGUGGCGCCAACUUCUUCAUGAGAUUGUUGCAAAAGGUUUUGAGCUUGUCGAAAGCAAUGGAUUCUUGCGCCGUCAUCCCUCCACCGGCCGGCUCCUUGCUCGCGGCCGCAGUCAUGCGCUGCGCAUCAGAAGAGUUGUCCUGCCUGGCGACGCUACGCACGGCUCCAAGUUCCAGGCAUAGCGUAUCCGGGGCCAACACCCCCUCAACUCCAUCGACAGGCACAAGUGCAUGUGCAUGGUUCCCCUCAGCCUCUAUGUCCCCACCAGCAGCCACAGAUGCAAGAAUGGCAUGCAACUCCUCGGCUCCACCAGCAUUUGCGGUAGCACUUGCAUGCAUCCCCUCAACCUCCACGGCCCCACCAACAGACUCAGCGUCAUGAUUCCCAUCAGUCCACUCGGGUAGGGCCCCAUGCAUGGCCACCUGCAUGGCCCGCAGAGUGGUGGCCCUAGGUGACAGCGCUGGGCCAAUCCCCUCUACCACAACUCGUGCCUCGCCCAACUCCGGUUGGCUAGCCAUCAGCAAGCCCUUGGGAUUGCCACCCCCAACCUGCUCGACGGGUCCCGCCAUCUCCCCAACCUGCUCAACGGGUCCCGCCAUCUGUGUGUGAACGGAUAACUGGGGCUCCGUGCUGCAUUUGGCAGGCGCGAAUUGCACCAACUCCUGGCCAGACCGAGCUGAUCUCAUCUCAUGUGUGCCAAUCGCCGCCUGCCUCGGAUCCUGCACCUGAUCAUGAUCCUGAUCACAACGGCCUUCCUCCGGCCCCACCACGAUGGGCGCCAACGCCUCCUGCCCAGACCCCGCUGGCCUCAACUCCUGUGCACCUGUCACCACUUGCCUCGGGUCCUGCGACAGGUCCUGAUCCUGAUCGCCACCGCCAUCCUCCGGUCCCACCACGAUGGACGCCAACGUAGGCCUGGUGGCCAGUGCACGCACCGGGGAAGCAUCUCCCACAGCUGAGAGCUGCCGCGUGGCCGCCUCUGAUUGGACUGGCUGAAGUUGUUGCUGUCCAACGGUCACCUCCAUUGGUCUGGUCAAGCGGUCAAAAGCCGAAGCCCUGCGCUCUAUCAUGUUCCUGACGUUGCAGACAGUGCUGACCGUGGUGACGUCAGGGGUCGUCUGCAUGCUUGGAAUCCGCCAAUCCUCGUCAGCCGGGGUGCGGCCAGCCCCCGCGAAAGCGCCGCCGCCGGAGCUACAGCCCGCGACGCCUCCACCGCGCCCGGCACCCGGAAGGGCCCGGUUGUCCCUGACUCCAAAGCUCCAGCUGCGACGCAAGGUAGUGAUCCGCCCACCGCCGCCACCAGCACUGCCCUCGUCCGAGUUCGGGAUCCCACUAUGGCCGCUGCCCGAAGACGACGGGCCCAAGAACCAUGGCUCCUCCGCCGCAGGAUAGUCCGUUACCUCGUCAAGAUGGAUGAGCACUUUGUAUUGAAGCAUUGUCGGCUCCAUCAACGGCGAACGCAUGCCAGGCUCCGACACGGCCAGCCACCUCAACAACGGAAUCUCCUCCGGCUGAGCCGUCCAUGCCGUAAGCCUGAACGCCGACAGGUCAGCUCGAGAGCUCGUCUCCGGUCCAAGGGUGUCCACCAGACAGGAUGAACCUAGCAAGCACUCGACCACCCCGCGCUCCCAGGCAUGCGGCGGGACGCCUUCAAGGACGAGCUGCACCUUGAACUGGAAAGCCGCGUGCACUGCCUGCACUUGGCGGUUCCACGACCUGAAGAACAGUCUGACUCCAUUGUGCACCACCUCCGGCAUCUCACUCAAUCUGUUCCUGUCCUCCAUCCUGGCGAAGACGAUGAGGAAAUCCUCUGGCCUAUAGCGAUGAAUGGACACUCUGUCGGCCUCAAUACCGACCCGGCGACCCAGCGCCUCAACGAUGAACUCCAGACUCAGAUCCCGGCGAGCCGCCGCAGCGUAGACCACCAUCGCAAGCUGCAGUCUGCGCUCCAAGUCCUCCAUGGCCUGGGUGCGCCUGACGACGCACAACUCCGAUGGCACCAACUCCGUGUCCACUGGAAUCAUCAGCCUGGGCACAGGGGGAGCGGGCGAGGGGCAGGGAGUCUGGGCCACGCAGGCUGCGGCGCGGGCACAGCAGGCGGAGGCGGCGGUGGGACGUGAGGGGGGCCAACCCAGCAGACACCCUGUGGGCGACCAUGGCCACCGCCUGACGACGAAGCUCCGCCUCCGAGGUAGGGCUGCGGGGCCUCUUGCAACCCCUAGAUCCGUGGCCCUCCAGGCCGCAGCGGUAGCAGACGAUCUCAUUGGUGCAGUCACUGCGGAAGUGCCCUUCGCGAAGACACCGAAAGCAGAGGCCUUCCAUCUCAGGUNNNNNNNNNNNNNNNNNNNNNNNNNNNNNNNNNNNNNNNNNNNNNNNNNNNNNNNNNNNNNNNNNNNNNNNNNNNNNNNNNNNNNNNNNNNNNNNNNNNNNNNNNNNNNNNNNNNNNNNNNNNNNNNNNNNNNNNNNNNNNNNNNNNNNNNNNNNNNNNNNNNNNNNNNNNNNNNNNNNNNNNNNNNNNNNNNNNNNNNNNNNNNNNNNNNNNNNNNNNNNNNNNNGCCGCCAGAGCGUCCUCCUCGAGGGCGGAGCCGGCAUCCAGGGCGCGCCCAACCUCCUGACCCCCUCGGCCGCCGGCUGCGAGGCGGGAGCGAGCAGGGCCGCCGAGCCGCCGGCCUCUGCGCGGACCCCCGACGACACCUCCCGCCCGCCAGCUGCGUCGGAGGACUCCGACAGGACGAGAUCCCGAGCCCAGACACCACCGGCCGGUCGCCAGCCCUGCGGGAAGGAGCGGCCGCGGAGUUGGGGCUCGACGCCAUGGACACCGAAGCGAAGCGAGGGAGAGGGAGCGCACCGCGGAGGGGGCGGGCGCAAGAGAGGUGGCCGGCAUAGCCGGAGUGGCGGACGACGGGAGGGUGGACGCCGGCGUCGGAGUGACGCACGGCGUGCGCGGUCUUGGGGAGAGCAGGCGCGGAGACGUCUCACAUGUCCUCUUCUUCAAAUGGGACUAAUCCUAUUUUGCACAAGAUAUGGAAACUUGUAGUCCCUGGGAAGGUGAAGAUUUUUAUAUGGAAGUCUCUACAUGUUGUUGUCCGCGUGAAAUCUAUCCUCGUUAAUCGUUAUAUUGGCAAUGAUGACCAGUGACCUAUAUGUCAUCUAUUUCCCGCAAAUCGGAUGCACUUUUUUUUGUUGCACCCCUCAAUAGAACUAUGGAAGAUCCUUUGAGUGGAUUCCCUGGAUGCUAGUGCAUCGGGUUUUGAUAGGUCAGGUUCGGCGGUUUUAGAAGAGCUACUCAACUCGGCUGCUGGUCACUUCCCAGGUCUGCCAUGUGUUGGUUUGGCGCAAGUUCUUGCAGUUUCCGUUUGGUAUCUCUGGUGGAUUAGACGAGCUAUAACCCAUGGAGAAGGCUCACCCUCAGUAGGUAAUUGGAAACUAUGCAUCCUCGCUAUGUCUAACAAUCAUGCAAAGAUGGUUCCGGGGGCUGCCCCAAGAGGGAACAUCAAGUGGAUUAAACCUGACAAGGAUAUUCUAAAAUUAAAUGUCGAUGCUUCAUUUCACAACGAGGAAAAUGCAGGAUCAACUGGCGUUGUUAUACAAGAUAGUCACGGUAACUUCGUUGCUGCCUCUGGUUCCUUUGUAUCAUAUACGCUUCUGAAGCAUCUACGAUGGAAGCUAUAGCUAUGAAGGAGGGGCUAUCUUUGGUGGCCCCACUAGGAUGUAACCAGACUAUUUCUGAAUCAGAUUGUUUAGAAGCCAUCGAAGCAGUAGGAGGCUCGACGAUAUGGUGGAUAGAUGGAGCUGCACUUUAUGCCGAUUACAUGGCGCACUGGACUGCCUGUGGACUCGCUGGAGCAAAAAGAGGAGGAGGAGGCGGUGCAGCAGCCAGAUGUGGAGCAGGACCCCCAGCUCAUGGAGGGGCGGAUCCGAAGGAGGAGGAGGAGGAACCAGCUGCGGGCUUUGUCAUGGAGGACGCCAUGGCGGAGGAGGUGGCGGAGCAGGCCACCAUCCUGAAGUCCAUCCAGUCGUAGGCCGCGGUGGAGGUCAACUGGCUUUUCCUCCGCCAGCAGAGAGCAGAGAUCGAUGAAAUCUUUGUCGAAAUAGAGUCUGGCAGCGAGCCGGAGUUGCCACACAUGGCCAUCUACCCAAAGCCCGGCGGGGAAAGCAUGAACAUCUUAGCCCUUCCGUGAGCUUUUUGUUAGAAUUAAUGGGCUAGGCCCAUAGCAAUUUCUGAAAUCUCAAAGCCCAUGUAUAAAAUGGCAAGUGGUGGUGCUAAGUUUAGUCCCACCUUGGAAGUUGAAGAAGAGUUGGACCUCUUUAUAUAGUGGGUUCUCUCCACCACUCUAAGUGGUGUAUGAGAAGAGAAAGGGAAAACCACACGCGCGCGCUCGCUCGCCUCGCCUGGCCUGGCCUGGCCGUGGCGAGGCGAGGCGAGGCGGCGCGUACAUGCGACAUGCGCGUGAAUGGUCCGCCGAAAUCCGGUCCGUCUCCUUGCAGGAGCGCAGCUUCCUUUUGCCGUUUUAUUUUUAUGUCUUGGCAGACAAGUUUUUGAUUUCUUGUCCGGUAAGUAUACGAAUUAGAAACCGAGUCGGUUUGGGAUUGUGGUCGCGACACAAUACCGCCUCUGGUCCUAAUAUAUAUACAGCUACCGGCUGCGGCCAGAGACACACCGAAAAACACCUAGGGUUUUGCCUCAUCUCACAACUUGCGCCGCCAUCGUAGUCUACUCCAUCCCAAACGCCGGCGUGCAUCGGCACGUGGGAGAGCAGGUCUCCGGAACCGUUCGUCUUUGCGAUCCUGCACCGGGAGAGGACGAAUUAGGUUUUUGGGAAGCGCUGUGCGCGACUGCUCAAAUUCGUCAUCACGGGUCGUCUUCCGUCCAAGUCGGGCGGUGCUACUCAUCGUCGUAUUCAUCGCCUUCAGCAGCAGAUCGUCGCCAACAUCGUCAUCAACACUGUCGCACCCAUAAUAGCUAACGAUCAGUACGUCCAACAUCCUCUGUUCAUGUCUGUUUCUACAGCUAUUGUUACGUGUUUGCUGCUGUUAUGCAUGUCUUGCUGUUCUUCUAGUUUGCUAGAUUAUUGCAUGCUAGUAUCUCUUCUAGUCAUGAAUUAUUUACUGGAAUUAAUCAUGAACUUGCCUAAUAUUCCAACAAUCCAAAAACCUAAUUAUAGGCAAUUUCCUGAGUUAACUAUGGCUGGAUUCGCUGAUGCACUGAGGGCGGAUAAGUUUACCGGUGUGCACUUUAAGAGGUGGCAGGUGAAGACCACGCUCUGGCUUACUGCUCUGAAAGUUUUCCACGCUAGUGUUGGUGCUCCAGAGGGAAUGACCGACGAAGAUCGGAGAAAAUUCCAGGAAGCCAAUACUAUGUUUGUGGGAUGCAUUCUGAGUGUUCUUGCUGACCGUCUGUGUGAUGUGUACAUGCACAUAAACGACGGAAAAAUUCUGUGGGAUGCACUGAAUGCAAAAUUCGGUGCAACAGAUGCAGGCAGUGAACUGUACAUCAUGGAGAGUUUUCAUGACUACAAGAUGGUGAAUAACCGUUCUGUGGUUGAACAAGCUCAUGAGAUACAGUGCAUUGUGAAGGAACUUGAACUCCUUAAAUGUGUUCUACCCGACAAAUUCAUGGCUGGGUGCAUGAUUGCAAAGUUGCCUCCUUCAUGGAGGAAUUUCGCCACAACUCUGAAGCAUAAGAGACAGGAGAUAUCAGUUGAAAAUCUGAUUGCAUCUCUUGAUGUUGAAGAAAAAGCUCGGGCUAAAGAUACCACUGAAAAAGGAGGUGAGAUUCAGCCUACUGCUAACAUGGUGCAGAGGUACCCACAGAACAAGAACAAAGGGAAGAACAAACCUGUUUUCAACAAGCCUACCAAGACUACUACCUUCAAGAAGAAGAAGUUCAACAAGGCUGAGCUAGAGUGCUACGCCUGUGGGAAGCCUGGACACUUUUCCAAGGAAUGCCCUGAACGUGCAGACCGCAGAGGGAAAACAAGCUCCAAGACUGUCAACAUGGUGACCGCUAGCAAUACUGAUGGGUAUGGUAAUUUACCUAUUGUGCUUUCAGUAUUUCAAUCAUCUUCGUGGUGGAUUGAUCCGGGUGCUAACGUUCAUGUGUGUGCUGACAUCUCCCUGUUUACUUCUUAUCAGGUCGCAAGGGAUUCUUCCGUCCUAAUGGGGAAUGGGUCACAUGCUUCUGUUCGUGGCAUUGGCACGGUGGAUCUGAAGUUUACUUCGGGAAAGAUCGUGCAACUAAGGAACGUGCAGCAUGUCCCUACUAUGAACAAGAAUCUAGUUAGCGGCUCCCUUCUAUGUCGAGAUGGAUUUAAGGUAGUUUUAGAGUCCAAUAAAGUAAUCGUGUCAAGAUUUGGACAAUUUAUAGGAAAAGGCUAUGAGUGCGGAGGCUUGUUCCGCUUUUCUCUUUCAGAUUUUUGCAAUAAGUCAAUAAACCAAAUUUGUGCUAAUGUUAAUGAUGAUGCAAGUAUUUGGCACUCUCGUUUAUGUCAUAUUAAUUUUGGUUUAAUGUCUCGGCUAUCCAGCAUGAGUUUAAUUCCGAACUUCACNNNNNNNNNNAGGAAUUUCGCCACAACUCUGAAGCAUAAGAGACAGGAGAUAUCAGUUGAAAAUCUGAUUGCAUCUCUUGAUGUUGAAGAAAAAGCUCGGGCUAAAGAUACCACUGAAAAAGGAGGUGAGGUUCAGCCUACUGCUAACAUGGUGCAGAGGUACCCACAGAACAAGAACAAAGGGAAGAACAAACCUGUUUCCAACAAGCCUACCAAGACUACUACCUUCAAGAAGAAGAAGUUCAACAAGGCUGAGCUAGAGUGCUACGCCUGUGGGAAGCCUGGACACUUUUCCAAGGAAUGCCCUGAACGUGCAGACCGCAGAGGGAAAACAAGCUCCAAGACUGUCAACAUGGUGACCGCUAGCAAUACUGAUGGGUAUGGUAAUUUACCUAUUGUGCUUUCAGUAUUUCAAUCAUCUUCGUGGUGGAUUGAUUCGGGUGCUAACGUUCAUGUGUGUGCUGACAUCUCCCUGUUUACUUCUUAUCAGGUCGCAAGUGAUUCUUCCGUCCUAAUGGGGAAUGGGUCACAUGCUUCUGUUCGUGGCAUUGGCACGGUGGAUCUAAAGUUUACUUCGGGAAAGAUCGUGCAACUAAGGAACGUGCAGCAUGUCCCUACUAUGAACAAGAAUCUAGUUAGUGGCUCCCUUCUAUGUCGAGAUGGUUUUAAGGUAGUUUUAGAGUCCAAUAAAGUAAUCGUGUCAAGAUUUGGACAAUUUAUAGGAAAAGGCUAUGAGUGCGGAGGCUUGUUCCGCUUUUCUCUUUCAGAUUUUUGCAAUAAGUCAAUAAACCAAAUUUGUGCUAGUGUUAAUGAUGAUGCAAGUAUUUGGCACUCUCGUUUAUGUCAUAUUAAUUUUGGUUUAAUGUCUCGGCUAUCCAGCAUGAGUUUAAUUCCGAACUUCACAGUUGCCAAAGGUUCUAAGUGCCAUAGUUGUGUGCAAUCUAAGCAACCUCGAAAGCCUCAUAAGGCUGCCGAGGAGAGAAACUUGGCACCUCUAGAACUCAUACAUUCUGAUCUUUGUGAGAUGAAUGGUGUGUUGACAAAAGGUGGAAAGAGAUAUUUCAUGACUUUGAUUGAUGAUGCGACUAGAUUUUGCUAUGUUUAUUUGUUGCAAACUAAAGAUGAAGCAUUAGACUACUUUAAAAUCUAUAAAGCUGAAGUUGAAAAUCAACUAGAGAGAAAGAUCAAGCGUCUUAGGUCCGAUCGUGGUGGAGAGUAUUUUCCAAAAGUUUUUGAUGAAUUUUGUGAGGAACAUGGUAUUAUUCAUGAGAGUACGCCUCCCUAUUCACCUCAAUCAAAUGGAGUGGCCGAGAGGAAAAACCGCACAUUGACUGACUUGGUGAAUUCCAUGUUAGACACUGCUGGUUUAUCUAAGGCAUGGUGGGGGAGGCUCUAUUGACUUCAUGUCAUGUCCUGAAUAGAGUUCCCAACAAUAAUAAAGAGAAAACCCCUUAUGAGGAGUGGGUUGGGAGAAAACCAUCACUUUCUUAUUUGCGCACUUGGGGAUGUUUGGCAAAGGUCAAUAUUCCUAUUCCUAAGAAAUGCAAACUUGGACCAAAGACAGUGGAUUGUGUCUUUCUAGGGUAUGCUCAACGGAGCAUUGCUUAUAGGUUUUUAGUGGUAAAAUCUGAAGUACCUGAUAUGCAUGUUGAUACUAUAAUGGAAUCUCGUGAUGCAACAUUUUUUGAGAACAUAUUUCCUAUGAAAGAUAUGCAUAGCAUUGCUAGAUUUUCUUCUGAGAUAAUUCCUGAAUCUAGUACAACUGAUGAAUAUUUCGAACAAUCACAUGAGGAAGUCCUUGAGAAGGAUAACAAUGAAGUUCCUAGAAGGAACAAGAGACAAAGGAUUGCAAAAUCCUUUGGUGAUGAUUUCAUUGUAUACCUUGUGGACGACACACCCAAGACGAUUGCAGAAGCAUAUGCAUCUCCGGAUGUAGACGAUUGGAAAGAAGCUGUUCAUAAUGAGAUGGACUCAAUUCUUUCUAAUGGAACUUGGGAACUAACUGAUAGACCAUAUGGUUGUAAACCUGUGGGCUGUAAGUGGGUGUUCAAAAAGAAGCUAAAGCCUGAUGAUACUAUUGAUAAGUACAAGGCGCGGCUAGUGGCCAAGGGCUACACUCAGAAAGAAGGCGAAGAUUACUUUGACACCUAUUCACCCGUUGCUAGAAUGACCACCAUUCGAGUGUUACUUUCCUUGGCUGCCUCUUAUGGUCUUAUCAUUCAUCAAAUGGAUGUAAAGACAGCUUUUCUCAAUGGAGAGUUGGAAGAGGAGAUCUAUAUGGAUCAGCCUGACGGGUUUGUGGUAAAGGGUGAAGAGAGAAAGGUGUGCAAGUUGUUAAAAUCUUUGUAUGGUCUGAAACAGGCACCUAAGCAAUGGCAUGAGAAGUUUGAAAGAACUCUGACUUCUGCAGGAUUUGUCAUUAACGAGGCUGAUAGGUGUGUUUACUAUCGCCAUGGUGGGGGCAAUAGUCUCAUAUUAUGUUUGUCUGUGGACGACAUACUGAUCUUUGGUACAAACAUUAAUGCAAUUAAUGAGGUCAAGUCUUUUCUAUCAAAAAGUUUUGACAUGAAAGAUCUGGGAGAAGCCGAUGUAAUUCUAAACAUCAAACUUAUUAAGGAUGAGAGUGGGAUUACAUUAACGCAAUCUCACUAUGUUGAGAAGGUCUUGAACCGAUUCGGUUUUAUGGAUAGCAAGCCUUCUCCAACACCUUAUGAUCCCAGCGUGACACUCAGAAAGAACAAGAAAGAAACGAGAGAUCAAUUAAGAUACUCUCAAAUUGUCGGUUCACUCAUGUACUUAGCUAGCGCUACAAGACCAGCUAUCUCUUUUGCUGUGAGCAAACUGAGUAGGUUCAUGUCCAACCCGGGUGAUGAUCAUUGGCAUGCACUAGAAAGGGUCUUGCGCUAUCUGAGAGGUACUAUGAGUUACGGAAUUACUUAUUCAGGGCAUCCUGCUGUGCUAGAAGGAUAUAGUGAUUCAAAAUGGAUCUCCGAUGUUGAUGUACUUUACGCAACAAGUGGGUAUGUAUUUACUCAUGGUGGUGGCGCAGUGUCAUGGAGGUCUUGCAAGCAAACCAUAUUGACGAGGUCAACUAUGGAAGCAGAAUUAACUGCUUUGGACACAGCUACUGUUGAGGCAGAAUGGCUGCGUGAGCUCUUGAUGGACUUGCCGGUUGUUGAAAAACCUGUACCGGCUAUUCUUAUGAAUUGUGAUAACCAAACGGUUAUCGCUAAAGUGAACAAUUCUAAAGAUAAUGCAAAGUCAUCAAGACACAUGAAAAGACGUUUGAAGUCUGUCAGGAAGUUGAGAAACUCCGGAGUAAUAACUGUUACGUAUAUACAAACAGACAAAAACCUGGCAGAUCCCUUUACAAAGGGACAAUCACGAAAUGUGAUAGAUAUUGCAUCGAGGGAGAUGGGUAUGAGACCCAUAGAUGUUACACCAUAGUAGUAACCCAACCUUUGUGAUCGGAGAUCCCGUGAAUUAGGAUCUGGGAAGAACAAGCUAUUGGUUAACUGAGGAGAGUAAUAACUUAUGAUCGUCUCCAAGUGAAGAUGCAAAACUCUCAGAGCUGUAAGGCUCAGAUCUGUAAGGCAGGUUGGCAACAUGCCUUAAUGUGGUUCUAUUGGCUAUAAUUAGCAAAGAUGCUGUCCUACAGAGCAGUCUUGAAAGAACACACCUAUAUGAGUUCUGACUGUAAACGUCGCAGUCUAUGAGAUUUGGCUGAUCUCUAGUAAGCUCACGAAGAGACCAGGGAGUAUGACGUAUAAGCUCCAAACCGCGGGGUAGCCUACUGGCGGUCAGGUACUGGUUAAGACUUUGAGUGAAACCUGUUCACACAAAACUAGCAAUUCAAGGCAUAGUCCAUUGUCAAGUUGUGAAUGGAUGUAGCUUAAAGUUCUAGGCAGAAGUUCGACUUAACAGUCUCUGCUGAAACACUGGUAUAUUAAACAAGUGGUGAGAGAAGGCAAAUCUCUAAAUGGGUAUUUGAGAUCUGGUGGGGGAUUGUCAGAAUUAAUGCGCUAGGCCCAUAGCAAUUUCUGAAAUCUCAAAGCCCAUGUGUAAAAUGGCAAGUGGUGGUGCUAAGUUUAGUCCCACCUUGGAAGUUGAAGAAGAGUUGGACCUCUUUAUAUAGUGGGUUCUCUCCACCACUCUAAGUGGUGUGUGAGAAGAGAAAGGGAAAACCACACGCGCGCGCUCGCUCGCCUCGCCUCGCCUGGCCUGGCCGGGGCGUGGCGUGGCGAGGCGAGGCGGCGCGUACAUGCGACAUGCGCGUGAAUGGUCCGCCGAAAUUCGGUCCGUCUCCUUGCAGGAGCGCAGCUUCCUUUUGCCGUUUUAUUUUUAUGUCUUGGCAGACAUGUUUUUGAUUUCUUGUCCGGUAAGUAUACGAAUUAGAAACCGAGUCGGUUUGAGAUUGUGGUCGCGACACAAUACCGCCUCUGGUCCUAAUAUAUAUACAGCUACCGGCUGCGGCCAGAGACACACCGAAAAACACCUAGGGUUUUGCCUCAUCUCACAACUUGCACCGCCAUCGUAGUCUACUCCAUCCCAAACGUCGGCGUGCAUCGGCGCGUGGGAGAGCAGGUCUCCGGAACCGUUCGUCUUUGCGAUCCUGCACCGGGAGAGGACGAAUUAGGUUUUUGGGAAGCGCUGUGCGCGACUGCUCAAAUUCAUCAUCACGGGUCGUCUUCCGUCCAAGUCGGGCGGUGCUACUCAUCGUCGUAUUCAUCGCCGUCAGCAGCAGAUCGUCGCCAACAUCGUCAUCAACACUGUCGCACCCAUAAUAGCUAACGAUCAGUACGUCCAACAUCCUCUGCUCAUGUCUGUUUCUACAGCUAUUGUUACGUGUUUGCUGCUGUUAUGCAUGUCUUGCUGUUCUUCUAGUUUGCUAGAUUAUUGCAUGCUAGUAUCUCUUCUAGUCAUGAAUUAUUUACUGGAAUUAAUCAUGAACUUGCCUAAUAUUCCAACAAUCCAAAAACCUAAUUAUAGGCAAUUUCCUGAGUUAACUAUGGCUGGAUUCGCUGAUGCACUGAGGCCGGAUAAGUUUACCGGUGUGCACUUUAAGAGGUGGCAGGUGAAGACCACGCUCUGGCUUACUGCUCUGAAAGUUUUCCACGCUAGUGUUGGUGCUCCAGAGGGAAUGACUGACGAAGAUCGGAGAAAAUUCCAGGAAGCCAAUACUAUGUUUGUGGGAUGCAUUCUGAGUGUUCUUGCUGACCGUCUGUGUGAUGUGUACAUGCACAUAAAUGACGGAAAGAUUCUGUGGGAUGCACUGAAUGCAAAAUUCGGUGCAACAGAUGCAGGCAGUGAACUGUACAUCAUGGAGAGUUUUCAUGACUACAAGAUGGUGAAUAACCGUUCUGUGGUUGAACAAGCUCAUGAGAUAUAGUGCAUUGUGAAGGAACUUGAACUCCUUAAAUGUGUUCUACCCGACAAAUUCGUGGCUGGGUGCAUGAUUGCAAAGUUGCCUCCUUCAUGGAGGAAUUUCGCCACAACUCUGAAGCAUAAGAGACAGGAGAUAUCAGUUGAAAAUCUGAUUGCAUCUCUUGAUGUUGAAGAAAAAGCUCGGGCUAAAGAUACCACUGAAAAAGGAGGUGAGGUUCAGCCUACUGCUAACAUGGUGCAGAGGUACCCACAGAACAAGAACAAAGGGAAGAACAAACCUGUUGUCAACAAGCCUACCAAGACUACUACCUUCAAGAAGAAGAAGUUCAACAAGGCUGAGCUAGAGUGCUAUGCCUGUGGGAAGCCUGGACACUUUUCCAAGGAAUGCCCUGAACGUGCAGACCGCAGAGGGAAAACAAGCUCCAAGACUGUCAACAUGGUGACCGCUAGCAAUACUGAUGGGUAUGGUAAUCUACCUAUUGUGCUUUCAAUAUUUCAAUCAUCUUCGUGGUGGAUUGAUUCGGGUGCUAACGUUCAUGUGUGUGCUGACAUCUCCCUGUUUACUUCUUAUCAGGUCGCAAGGGAUUCUUCCGUCCUAAUGGGGAAUGGGUCACAUGCUUCUGUUCGUGGCAUUGGCACGGUGGAUCUGAAGUUUACUUCGGGAAAGAUCGUGCAACUAAGGAACGUGCAGCAUGUCCCUACUAUGAACAAGAAUCUAGUUAGCGGCUCCCUUCUAUGUCGAGAUGGAUUUAAGGUAGUUUUAGAGUCCAAUAAAGUAAUCGUGUCAAGAUUUGGACAAUUUAUAGGAAAAGGCUAUGAGUGCGGAGGCUUGUUUCGUUUUUCUCUUUCAGAUUUUUGCAAUAAGUCAAUAAACCAAGUUUGUGCUAGUGUUAAUGAUGAUGCAAGUAUUUGGCACUCUCGUUUAUGUCAUAUUAAUUUUUUAAUGUCUCGGCUAUCCAGCAUGAGUUUAAUUCCGAACUUCACAGUUGCCAAAGGUUCUAAGUGCCAUAGUUGUGUGCAAUCUAAGCAACCUCGAAAGCCUCAUAAGGCUGCCGAGGAGAGAAACUUGGCGCCUCUAGAACUCAUACAUUCUGAUCUUUGUGAGAUGAAUGGUGUGUUGACAAAAGGUGGAAAGAGAUAUUUUAUGACUUUGAUUGAUGAUGCGACUAGAUUUUGCUAUGUUUAUUUGUUGCAAACUAAAGAUGAAGCAUUAGACUACUUUAAAAUCUAUAAAGCUGAAGUUGAAAAUCAACUAGAGAGAAAGAUCAAGCGUCUUAGGUCCGAUCGUGGUGGAGAGUAUUUUCCAAAAGUUUUUGAUGAAUUUUGUGAGGAACAUGGUAUUAUUCAUGAGAGGACGCCUCCCUAUUCACCUCAAUCAAAUGGAGUGGCCGAGAGGAAAAACCGCACAUUGACUGACUUGGUGAAUGCCAUGUUAGACACUGCUGGUUUAUCUAAGGCAUGGUGGGGGGAGGCUCUAUUGACUUCAUGUCAUGUCCUGAAUAGAGUUCCCAACAAUAAUAAAGAGAAAACCCCUUAUGAGGAGUGGGUUGGGAGAAAACCAUCACUUUCUUAUUUGCGCACUUGGGGAUGUUUGGCAAAGGUCAAUAUUCCUAUUCCUAAGAAAUGCAAACUUGGACCAAAGACAGUGGAUUGUGUCUUUCUAGGGUAUGCUCAACGGAGCAUUGCUUAUAGGUUUUUAGUGGUAAAAUCUGAAGUACCUGAUAUGCAUGUUGAUACUAUAAUGGAAUCUCGUGAUGCAACAUUUUUUGAGAACAUAUUUCCUAUGAAAGAUAUGCAUAGCAUUGCUAGAUUUUCUUCUGAGAUAAUUCCUGAAUCUAGUACAACUGAUGAAUAUUUCGAACAAUCACAUGAGGAAGUCCUUGAGAAGGAUAACAAUGAAGUUCCUAGAAGGAACAAGAGACAAAGGAUUGCAAAAUCCUUUGGUGAUGAUUUCAUUGUAUACCUUGUGGACGACACACCCAAGACGAUUGCAGAAGCAUAUGCAUCUCCGGAUGUAGACGAUUGGAAAGAAGCUGUUCAUAAUGAGAUGGACUCAAUUCUUUCUAAUGGAACUUGGGAACUAACUGAUAGACCAUAUGGUUGUAAACCUGUGGGCUGUAAGUGGGUGUUCAAAAAGAAGCUAAAGCCUGAUGAUACUAUUGAUAAGUACAAGGCGCGGCUAGUGGCCAAGGGCUACACUCAGAAAGAAGGCGAAGAUUACUUUGACACCUAUUCACCCGUUGCUAGAAUGACCACCAUUCGAGUGUUACUUUCCUUGGCUGCCUCUUAUGGUCUUAUCAUUCAUCAAAUGGAUGUAAAGACAGCUUUUCUCAAUGGAGAGUUGGAAGAGGAGAUCUAUAUGGAUCAGCCUGACGGGUUUGUGGUAAAGGGUGAAGAGAGAAAGGUGUGCAAGUUGUUAAAAUCUUUGUAUGGUCUGAAACAGGCACCUAAGCAAUGGCAUGAGAAGUUUGAAAGAACUCUGACUUCUGCAGGAUUUGUCAUUAACGAGGCUGAUAGGUGUGUUUACUAUCGCCAUGGUGGGGGCAAUAGUCUCAUAUUAUGUUUGUCUGUGGACGACAUACUGAUCUUUGGUACAAACAUUAAUGCAAUUAAUGAGGUCAAGUCUUUUCUAUCAAAAAGUUUUGACAUGAAAGAUCUGGGAGAAGCCGAUGUAAUUCUAAACAUCAAACUUAUUAAGGAUGAGAGUGGGAUUACAUUAACGCAAUCUCACUAUGUUGAGAAGGUCUUGAACCGAUUCGGUUUUAUGGAUAGCAAGCCUUCUCCAACACCUUAUGAUCCCAGCGUGACACUCAGAAAGAACAAGAAAGAAACGAGAGAUCAAUUAAGAUACUCUCAAAUUGUCGGUUCACUCAUGUACUUAGCUAGCGCUACAAGACCAGCUAUCUCUUUUGCUGUGAGCAAACUGAGUAGGUUCAUGUCCAACCCGGGUGAUGAUCAUUGGCAUGCACUAGAAAGGGUCUUGCGCUAUCUGAGAGGUACUAUGAGUUACGGAAUUACUUAUUCAGGGCAUCCUGCUGUGCUAGAAGGAUAUAGUGAUUCAAAAUGGAUCUCCGAUGUUGAUGUACUUUACGCAACAAGUGGGUAUGUAUUUACUCAUGGUGGUGGCGCAGUGUCAUGGAGGUCUUGCAAGCAAACCAUAUUGACGAGGUCAACUAUGGAAGCAGAAUUAACUGCUUUGGACACAGCUACUGUUGAGGCAGAAUGGCUGCGUGAGCUCUUGAUGGACUUGCCGGUUGUUGAAAAACCUGUACCGGCUAUUCUUAUGAAUUGUGAUAACCAAACGGUUAUCGCUAAAGUGAACAAUUCUAAAGAUAAUGCAAAGUCAUCAAGACACAUGAAAAGACGUUUGAAGUCUGUCAGGAAGUUGAGAAACUCCGGAGUAAUAACUGUUACGUAUAUACAAACAGACAAAAACCUGGCAGAUCCCUUUACAAAGGGACAAUCACGAAAUGUGAUAGAUAUUGCAUCGAGGGAGAUGGGUAUGAGACCCAUAGAUGUUACACCAUAGUAGUAACCCAACCUUUGUGAUCGGAGAUCCCGUGAAUUAGGAUCUGGGAAGAACAAGCUAUUGGUUAACUGAGGAGAGUAAUAACUUAUGAUCGUCUCCAAGUGAAGAUGCAAAACUCUCAGAGCUGUAAGGCUCAGAUCUGUAAGGCAGGUUGGCAACAUGCCUUAAUGUGGUUCUAUUGGCUAUAAUUAGCAAAGAUGCUGUCCUACAGAGCAGUCUUGAAAGAACACACCUAUAUGAGUUCUGACUGUAAACGUCGCAGUCUAUGAGAUUUGGCUGAUCUCUAGUAAGCUCACGAAGAGACCAGGGAGUAUGACGUAUAAGCUCCAAACCGCGGGGUAGCCUACUGGCGGUCAGGUACUGGUUAAGACUUUGAGUGAAACCUGUUCACACAAAACUAGCAAUUCAAGGCAUAGUCCAUUGUCAAGUUGUGAAUGGAUGUAGCUUAAAGUUCUAGGCAGAAGUUCGACUUAACAGUCUCUGCUGAAACACUGGUAUAUUAAACAAGUGGUGAGAGAAGGCAAAUCUCUAAAUGGGUAUUUGAGAUCUGGUGGGGGAUUGUCAGAAUUAAUGCGCUAGGCCCAUAGCAAUUUCUGAAAUCUCAAAGCCCAUGUGUAAAAUGGCAAGUGGUGGUGCUAAGUUUAGUCCCACCUUGGAAGUUGAAGAAGAGUUGGACCUCUUUAUAUAGUGGGUUCUCUCCACCACUCUAAGUGGUGUGUGAGAAGAGAAAGGGAAAACCACACGCGCGCGCUCGCUCGCCUCGCCUCGCCUGGCCUGGCCGGGGCGUGGCGUGGCGAGGCGAGGCGGCGCGUACAUGCGACAUGCGCGUGAAUGGUCCGCCGAAAUUCGGUCCGUCUCCUUGCAGGAGCGCAGCUUCCUUUUGCCGUUUUAUUUUUAUGUCUUGGCAGACAUGUUUUUGAUUUCUUGUCCGGUAAGUAUACGAAUUAGAAACCGAGUCGGUUUGAGAUUGUGGUCGCGACACAAUACCGCCUCUGGUCCUAAUAUAUAUACAGCUACCGGCUGCGGCCAGAGACACACCGAAAAACACCUAGGGUUUUGCCUCAUCUCACAACUUGCACCGCCAUCGUAGUCUACUCCAUCCCAAACGUCGGCGUGCAUCGGCGCGUGGGAGAGCAGGUCUCCGGAACCGUUCGUCUUUGCGAUCCUGCACCGGGAGAGGACGAAUUAGGUUUUUGGGAAGCGCUGUGCGCGACUGCUCAAAUUCAUCAUCACGGGUCGUCUUCCGUCCAAGUCGGGCGGUGCUACUCAUCGUCGUAUUCAUCGCCGUCAGCAGCAGAUCGUCGCCAACAUCGUCAUCAACACUGUCGCACCCAUAAUAGCUAACGAUCAGUACGUCCAACAUCCUCUGCUCAUGUCUGUUUCUACAGCUAUUGUUACGUGUUUGCUGCUGUUAUGCAUGUCUUGCUGUUCUUCUAGUUUGCUAGAUUAUUGCAUGCUAGUAUCUCUUCUAGUCAUGAAUUAUUUACUGGAAUUAAUCAUGAACUUGCCUAAUAUUCCAACAAUCCAAAAACCUAAUUAUAGGCAAUUUCCUGAGUUAACUAUGGCUGGAUUCGCUGAUGCACUGAGGCCGGAUAAGUUUACCGGUGUGCACUUUAAGAGGUGGCAGGUGAAGACCACGCUCUGGCUUACUGCUCUGAAAGUUUUCCACGCUAGUGUUGGUGCUCCAGAGGGAAUGACCGACGAAGAUCGGAGAAAAUUCCAGGAAGCCAAUACUAUGUUUGUGGGAUGCAUUCUGAGUGUUCUUGCUGACCGUCUGUGUGAUGUGUACAUGCACAUAAACGACGGAAAAAUUCUGUGGGAUGCACUGAAUGCAAAAUUCGGUGCAACAGAUGCAGGCAGUGAACUGUACAUCAUGGAGAGUUUUCAUGACUACAAGAUGGUGAAUAACCGUUCUGUGGUUGAACAAGCUCAUGAGAUACAGUGCAUUGUGAAGGAAUUUGAACUCCUUAAAUGUGUUCUACCCGACAAAUUCGUGGCUGGGUGCAUGAUUGCAAAGUUGCCUCUUUCAUGGAGGAAUUUCGCCACAACUCUGAAGCAUAAGAGGCAGGAGAUAUCAGUUGAAAAUAUGAUUGCAUCUCUUGAUGUUGAAGAAAAAGCUCGGGCUAAAGAUACCACUGAAAAAGGAGGUGAGGUUCAGCCUACUGCUAACAUGGUGCAGAGGUACCCACAGAACAAGAACAAAGGGAAGAACAAACCUGUUUUCAACAAGCCUACCAAGACUACUACCUUCAAGAAGAAGAAGUUCAACAAGGCUGAGCUAGAGUGCUACGCCUGUGGGAAGCCUGGACACUUUUCCAAGGAAUGCCCUGAACAUGCAGACCGCAGAGGGAAAACAAGCUCCAAGACUGUCAACAUGGUGACCGCUAGCAAUACUGAUGGGUAUGGUAAUUUACCUAUUGUGCUUUCAGUAUUUCAAUCAUCUUCGUGGUGGAUUGAUUCGGGUGCUAACGUUCAUGUGUGUGCUGACAUCUCCCUGUUUACUUCUUAUCAGGUCGCAAGGGAUUCUUCCGUCCUAAUGGGGAAUGGGUCACAUGCUUCUGUUCGUGGCAUUGGCACGGUGGAUCUGAAGUUUACUUCGGGAAAGAUCGUGCAACUAAGGAACGUGCAACAUGUCCCUACUAUGAACAAGAAUCUAGUUAGCGGCUCCCUUCUAUGUCGAGAUGGAUUUAAGGUAGUUUUAGAGUCCAAUAAAGUAAUCGUGUCAAGAUUUGGACAAUUUAUAGGAAAAGGCUAUGAGUGCGGAGGCUUGUUCCGCUUUUCUCUUUCAGAUUUUUGCAAUAAGUCAAUAAACCAAAUUUGUGCUAAUGUUAAUGAUGAUGCAAGUAUUUGGCACUCUCGUUUAUGUCAUAUUAAUUUUGGUUUAAUGUCUCGGCUAUCCAGCAUGAGUUUAAUUCCGAACUUCACAGUUGCCAAAGGUUCUAAGUGCCAUAGUUGUGUGCAAUCUAAGCAACCUCGAAAGCCUCAUAAGGCUGCCGAGGAGAGAAACUUGGCACCUCUAGAACUCAUACAUUCUGAUCUUUGUGAGAUGAAUGGUGUGUUGACAAAAGGUGGAAAGAGAUAUUUCAUGACUUUGAUUGAUGAUGCGACUAGAUUUUGCUAUGUUUAUUUGUUGCAAACUAAAGAUGAAGCAUUAGACUACUUUAAAAUCUAUAAAACUGAAGUUGAAAAUCAACUAGAGAGAAAGAUCAAGCGUCUUAGGUCCGAUCGUGGUGGAGAGUAUUUUCCAAAAGUUUUUGAUGAAUUUUGUGAGGAACAUGGUAUUAUUCAUGAGAGGACUCCUCCCUAUUCACCUCAAUCAAAUGGAGUGGCCGAGAGGAAAAACCGCACAUUGACUGACUUGGUGAAUGCCAUGUUAGACACUGCUGGUUUAUCUAAGGCAUGGUGGGGGGAGGCUCUAUUGACUUCAUGUCAUGUCCUGAAUAGAGUUCCCAACAAUAAUAAAGAGAAAACCCCUUAUGAGGAGUGGGUUGGGAGAAAACCAUAACUUUCUUAUUUGCGCACUUGGGGAUGUUUGGCAAAGGUCAAUAUUCCUAUUCCUAAGAAACGCAAACUUGGACCAAAGACAGUGGAUUGUGUCUUUCUAGGGUAUGCUCAACGGAGCAUUGCUUAUAGGUUUUUAGUGGUAAAAUCCGAAGUACCUGAUAUGCAUGUUGAUACUAUAAUGGAAUCUCGUGAUGCAACAUUUUUUGAGAACAUAUUUCCUAUGAAAGAUAUGCAUAGCAUUGCUAGAUUUUCUUCUGAGAUAAUUCCUGAAUCUAGUACAACUGAUGAAUAUUUCGAACAAUCACAUGAGGAAGUCCUUGAGAAGGAGAACAAUGAAGUUCCUAGAAGGAACAAGAGACAAAGGAUUGCAAAAUCCUUUGGUGAUGAUUUCAUUGUACACCUUGUGGACGACACACCCAAGACGAUUGCAGAAGCAUAUGCAUCUCCGGAUGUAGAUGAUUGGAAAGAAGUUGUUCAUAAUGAGAUGGACUCAAUUCUUUCUAAUGGAACUUGGGAACUAACUGAUAGACCAUAUGGUUGUAAACCUGUGGGCUGUAAGUGGGUGUUCAAAAAGAAGCUAAAGCCUGAUGGUACUAUUGAUAAGUACAAGGCGCGGCUAGUGGCCAAGGGCUACACUCAGAAAGAAGGCGAAGAUUACUUUGACACCUAUUCACCCGUUGCUAGAAUGACCACCAUUCGAGUGUUACUUUCCUUGGCUGCCUCUUAUGGUCUUAUCAUUCAUCAAAUGGAUGUAAAGACAGCUUUUCUCAAUGGAGAGUUGGAAGAGGAGAUCUAUAUGGAUCAGCCUGACGGGUUUGUGGUAAAGGGUGAAGAGAGAAAGGUGUGCAAGUUGUUAAAAUCUUGGUAUGGUCUGAAACAGGCACCUAAGCAAUGGCAUGAGAAGUUUGAAAGAACUCUGACUUCUGCAGGAUUUGUCAUUAACGAGGCUGAUAGGUGUGUUUACUAUCUCCAUGGUGGGGGCAAUAGUGUCAUAUUAUGUUUGUAUGUGGACGACAUACUGAUCUUUGGUACAAACAUUAAUGCAAUUAAUGAGGUCAAGUCUUUUCUAUCAAAAAGUUUUGACAUGAAAGAUCUGGGAGAAGCCGAUGUAAUUCUAAGCAUCAAACUUAUUAAGGAUGAGAGUGGGAUUACAUUAACGCAAUCUCACUAUGUUGAGAAGGUCUUGAACCGAUUCGGUUUUAUGGAUAGCAAGCCUUCUCCAACACCUUAUGAUCCCAGCGUGACACUCAGAAAGAACAAGAAAGAAACGAGAGAUCAAUUAAGAUACUCUCAAAUUGUCGGUUCACUCAUGUACUUAGCUAGCGCUACAAGACCAGAUAUCUCUUUUGCUGUGAGCAAACUGAGUAGGUUCAUGUCCAACCCGGGUGAUGAUCAUUGGCAUGCACUAGAAAGGGUCUUGCGCUAUCUGAGAGGUACUAUGAGUUACGGAAUUACUUAUUCAGGGCAUCCUGCUGUGCUAGAAGGAUAUAGUGAUUCAAAUUGGAUCUCCGAUGUUGAUGUACUUUACACAACAAGUGGGUAUGUAUUUACUCAUGGUGGUGGCGCAGUGUCAUGGAGGUCUUGCAAGCAAACCAUAUUGACGAGGUCAACUAUGGAAGCAGAAUUAACUGCUUUGGACACAGCUACUGUUGAGGCAGAAUGGCUACGUGAGCUCUUGAUGGACUUGCCGGUUGUUGAAAAACCUGUACCGGCUAUUCUUAUGAAUUGUGAUAACCAAACGGUUAUCGCUAAAGUGAACAAUUCUAAAGAUAAUGCAAAGUCAUCAAGACACGUGAAAAGACGUUUGAAGUCUGUCAGGAAGUUGAGAACUCCGGAGUAAUAACUGUUACGUAUAUACAAACAGACAAAAACCUGGCAGAUCCCUUUACAAAGGGACUAUCACGAAAUGUGAUAGAUAUUGCAUCGAGGGAGAUGGGUAUGAGACCCAUAGAUGUUACACCAUAGUAGUAACCCAACCUUUGUGAUCGGAGAUCCCGUGAAUUAGGAUCUGGGAAGAACAAGCUAUUGGUUAACUGAGGAGAGUAAUAACUUAUGAUCGUCUCCAAGUGAAGAUGCAAAACUCUCAGAGCUGUAAGGCUCAGAUCUGUAAGGCAGGUUGGCAACAUGCCUUAAUGUGGUUCUAUUGGCUAUAAUUAGCAAAGAUGCUGUCCUACAGAGCAGUCUUGAAAGAACACACCUAUAUGAGUUCUGACUGUAAACGUCGCAGUCUAUGAGAUUUGGGUGAUCUCUAAUAAGCUCACGAAGAGACCAGGGAGUAUGACGUAUAAGCUCCAAACCGCGGGGUAGCCUACUGGCGGUCAGGUACUGGUUAAGACUUUGAGUGAAACCUGUUCACACAAAACUAGCAAUUCAAGGCAUAGUCCAUUGUCAAGUUGUGAAUGGAUGUAGCUUAAAGUUCUAGGCAGAAGUUCAACUUAACAGUCUCUGCUGAAACACUGGUAUAUUAAACAAGUGGUGAGAGAAGGCAAAUCUCUAAAUGGGUAUUUGAGAUCUGGUGGGGGAUUGUUAGAAUUAAUGGGCUAGGCCCAUAGCAAUUUCUGAAAUCUCAAAGCCCAUGUGUAAAAUGGUAAGUGGUGGUGCUAAGUUUAGUCCCACCUUGGAAGUUGAAGAAGAGUUGGACCUCUUUAUAUAGUGGGUUAUCUCCACCACUCUAAGUGGUGUAUGAGAAGAGAAAGGGAAAACCACACGCGCGCUCGCUCGCCUCGUCUGGCCUGGCCGUGGCAUGGCGUGGCGUGGCGAGGCGAGGCGGCGCGUACAUGCGACAUGCGCGUGAAUGGUCCGCCGAAAUCCGGUCCGUCUCCUUGCAGGAGCGCAGCUUCCUUUUGCCGUUUUAUUUUUAUGUCUUGGCAGACAAGUUUUUGAUUUCUUGUCCGGUAAUUAUACGAAUUAGAAACCGAGUCGGUUUGGGAUUGCGGUCGCGACACAACACCGCUGGUCCUAAUAUAUAUACAGCUACCGGCUGCGGCCAGAGACACACCGAAAAACACCUAGGGUUUUGCCUCAUCUCACAACUUGCGCCGCCAUCGUAGUCUACUCCAUCCCAAACGCCGGCGUGCAUCGGCGCGUGGGAGAGCAGGUCUCCGGAACCGUUCGUCUUUGCGAUCCUGCACCGGGAGAGGACGAAUUAGGUUUUUGGGAAGCGCUAUGCGCGACUGCUCAAAUUCGUCAUCACGGGUCGUCUUCCGUCCAAGUCGGGCGGUGCUACUCAUCGUCGUAUUCAUCGCCGUCAGCAGCAGAUCGUCGCCAACAUCGUCAUCAACACUGUCGCACCCAUAAUAGCUAACGAUCAGUACGUCCAACAUCCUCUGUUCAUGUCUGUUUCUGCAGCUAUUGUUACGUGUUUGCUGCUGUUAUGCAUGUCUUGCUGUUCUUCUAGUUUGCUAGAUUAUUGCAUGCUAGUAUCUCUUCUAGUCAUGAAUUAUUUACUGGAAUUAAUCAUGAACUUGUCUAAUAUUCCAACACUUUUGAGGAGCGGCUGCACCACAUGUACUACACAGCGACCAGACCACACCACCUCAGCUGCAUGCACUCCCGCGCGCCACGAACAGGACGGCCCCGCCACUGUCGACGUCUCUGGAAGCGGUGAGGCCAGGAGAAGCAGGAGAGGCGGCGGUUUCUGGCAAGCUACGGUUGCACCCCCGUGUCACUCCGUGGAGGAUGAAGCUCCUACGUACAAGGAGCAACCCAUGGAGUCCCUAGAUUGCCCCACUGUUGAAACACCUAAGGCGCUGAUUGGAUUGUCGUUUCUCAGCGCUAAACCCCUGUAAAACAAACGUACACUCCUCUCUCGUUUUCUUUCCCAGGUGAAAAUCGUGUGUGGCCAGUGAUUUACACCUGUGAAUUAUCUACAGGUGCAUAAAUAUACACCGAUUCCAAGCGGGGCGUAAGAUCAUUCGCACUGGAUGUCAAUGCAAGCCUUUCAGGCGUUGGUUUGCAUUGCACACUGUCGAAACACCUGAACAUGCUUGCAGAUUUGAUCACUCUGCUAGAGCGGUUCCGACUUCUGAGGAUCGUAAGUUGCCUUUCUUCAGGUUCAGAAGCUUAGCACGUAUAAAUUUAUAACAAGCAAAAUGCCAGCAGUACUACCCGUGAAAUAUCUACGUGUACCAGAAGUAUCUUAACGAACUGACCAAGAGAACACGAAGUCUCUCCGCUCCAGGAUUUUAUGGCUGGAACAAAAUGAACACAAAAUUCUGCAUCACAAAAUAAGCCAAUAAGAAUAAUUCUUUCUUCGUAAGACCACAUCCUGAUCCAGUUAUCAUACUAAUAUAUAUCAAAAAUAGAAUCCAGGAGUAACAGACAUUAUAAUUAUAUCAUCACUAACCAAAGAAAAAAUAUGUAUAAGCAAUGAACUGAUCAUGAUAACCUUAAUCAACAAAACCUUGCAACUUCCACAAGAUGGGGAGUCAAAGUAAGACGCAGCCUGAACACAACAGAAACUGGGAAAUGCAUGCAGACUUGAUUACUUUGCUAUAGUAGUUCUGACUUCUAAGGAUCGUAACUUGUCUUUCUUCAGGUACAGAGGCUUAGCACCGUAAAUUUCUGCCUUCUGGCCCAAAAGUAGUACCGAUGAAAUAUGUAGUACCAAUGAAAUAUGUAACCAACUGACCAAGGAAACAGAAAGUCUCUUGGCUCCAGGAUUUUAUGGCUAGAGCAAAAAUGAACACUAAAUCUACCAAUCAGAACAAGAAAAAUCCGCAUCUUAACAUAAUAAGAUAAUUAAAUAAAUAUUUUUUUUUGUUUCUUUGUAAGUAAGACGACAUCCUGAUGCAGUUUAUUUCAAAACUAGAAUCCAAGAGUAACAAACAUUAUAACUAUAUCAUCACUAACCAAAGAGAAAUAUGUAUAAAGCAGGGAACUGAUCAUGAGAACCUUAAUCAGCAAAACCUUGCAACAUCCACGAGAUGAGAAGUCAGCGUAAGGCACAGCCUGAACACAAUAGAAACUGGAACAUGCAGCUAAGAGGCAGUGCUAUGCAAUUACAUCCUCAGAUAGUGCAUGUCAAUAUAUCACAAAUUAUAUUCUAUCAAUUCUGCAAGAUGACGAUAUGGAACAAACUUAAAUCCUGCUGUUGCCUGAGCAGAUCUUUUAUUUUCCUUGUUUCUCUUUCAAACUCGUACUGUUGUUGGUGCUUUAUCUAUAAAGCGGGGUGAAUGCCUAUUUUGAGAUAAAAAACUAAAUUCAAUUCAAGGUAUUGGUGUGUGCAUGCAUCUCAGAAAUUUGAGAGCAAUCCAGCAUCAGGCUUUUACGAGCAUUGAGCAAAAUGAAAAUGAAUUUUCUUCGAGAUUACUGUGAUCUCUCCUGCACAAGAGAGCACAUACCCAAGAUGAAAGAAGCAAAAUGAGCGAGAUAUCGACAUUAUGCCAGAGGACACCCUGCAUAUCAUCAGAUUAAUACAGGCCACACACAUGACAAAAGGCAUGGAUCCCACAUUGUCUACGAGAAUCCAAGUCCACCCAAAAGGAGCCACAUUCCGUAUUUCCACGGCCACGGUCACGAUGAUUAAGGACGCGGGAAUACCUUAGCAGCUCUUCAACCCCUAAAACCCUACAUUUCCAUCAGAAACUAAACCAAAGUACGACGAUUACAGUACUAACAUCCCCAUAUUCGAACCAUCUAUAUUUUUUAGCAGU